UGCCCCCACAGCCAUGUUAGGAACAGGAGGAGAACCUCAUCCUGACAUUAGCAAAGUCGAAGAUCCGAUUCUUUGAGACCGGAUGGGGGGAGAGGCCCUUGCAACGACCUUUAUGUGCCCCCACAGCCCCGUUGGGAACAGGAGGAGAACCUCGUCCUAACCUGAGCUGAGAUCGACUACGUCAAGAACAGAAGGAGAACCUCGUCCUGACGAUGAUAAAAACCUGAUCGUCCAAC
rnacentral:lncRNA from 1 species